rnacentral:rRNA from 1 species
CUACGGAAGGCAGCAGUGGGGAAUUUUGGACAAUGGGGGCAACCCUGAUCCAGCCAUGCCGCGUGAGUGAAGAAGGCCUUCGGGUUGUAAAGCUCUUUCGGCCGGGAAGAAAUCGCAUGGGUUAAUACCCUGUGCGGAUGACGGUACCGGCAUAAGAAGCACCGGCUAACUACGUGCCAGCAGCCGCGGUAAUACGUAGGGUGCGAGCGUUAAUCGGAAUUACUGGGCGUAAAGCGUGCGCAGGCGGUUUUGUAAGACAGGCGUGAAAUCCCCGGGCUCAACCUGGGAACUGCGCUUGUGACUGCAAGGCUAGAGUAUGGCAGAGGGGGGUGGAAUUCCACGUGUAGCAGUGAAAUGCGUAGAGAUGUGGAGGAACACCAAUGGCGAAGGCAGCCCCCUGGGCCAAUACUGACGCUCAUGCACGAAAGCGUGGGUAGCAAACAGGAUUAGAUACCCCAGUAGUCC